CUGUUGUGUUUGCCUUUCCAUAAAAGAAAAAAAUGAAUUCUCCUCUCGACUGUUCACCAUGCUUCACUGCCAAAUGCAACUUUGUCGGUAAUUCUCCUUAUCUUCCAAGGAUAUUAAGUCUAGGCUCGAAACACCAUCCUCCAUUUUUUGCAUGUACUCAGAGUUCAUCUGCCUUGCCACUCUUCGUCCCAAGCCCACUCUUCAUAACGUGCGUCGUAUGUCAUCACCCCGGUGAUUUAUAUUUAAUAAGUGACAUUACCUUAUUUCCUUCCUUCCUCUAGCUAGCCAAAUCAUGCACCAUGUAAACAUAAUGAAAUUGGUAAAGGUAUUGUUUAAAGGAAUACAAUGGGGAAGGGAUGUAAGCCCCACAAUGGAAUUGUCUGAUGUCUGUUAUCAGAUUACAUAUAUAUUUUUUAGAAAGGCCUGGAUGUGUUUUUGGAAACACAGAAUAUUCAAGGAUUUAAUUAAAGGACCACUAUAGUGCCAGGAAAACAUACUAGUUUUCCUGGCACUAUAGUGCCCUGAGGGUGCCCCCACCCUCAGGGACCCCCUCCCGCCCGGCUCUGGAAGGGGGAAAGGAGUAAAAACUUACCUUUUUCCAGUGCUGGGCGGAGAGCUCUCCUCCUUCUCUCCUCCUCCUGGGCUGAAUGCGCACGCGCGGCAAGAACUGCGCGCGCAUUCAGCCCGUCGCAUAGGAAAGCAUUUACAAUGCUUUCCUAUGGACGCUUGCGUGCUCUCACUGUGAAAAUCACAGUGAGAAGCACGCAAGCGCCUCUAGUGGCUGUCAAUGAGACAGCCACUAGAGG